UACGUAGGGGCAAGCGUUGUCCGGAUUUAUUGGGCGUAAAGCGCGCGUAGGCGGCGCGGUAUGUCGUGCGUGAAAUCUCCCGGCUUAACUGGGAGGGCCGUGCGAAACUGCGGGCUUGAGGUCAGAAGGGGAAGUGGAAUUCCGGUGGUAGUGGUGGAAUACGUAGAUAUCCGGAGGAACACCAGCGGCGAAGGCGGCUUUCUGGUCUGAUACUGACGCUGAGGCGCGAAAGCGUGGGGAGCGAUCCGG
rnacentral:rRNA from 1 species